CAUUGCUCGGUUGCAAAAUAUGGCAAGUAUAAUGUUUCGCAGUGGACCAACGUUAAUGUGGCAAAAAUCCUCCAUGUUCACUUAGGUGCUGUCGGACCCACAUAUGCAAAUAGUCCACAAAAUCUAGGUAUAUAUAUAGUGUCUCCAUUACGGGCUUCAUCAUGAAAAUUGAUGAUGAUUAACGUGCUAUAUUUUUUAGAAGAAUAACAUGUUGGAUGCUUUCUUUUACCCCUCCAUCUUUGAUAUACACUACAACCUAUGGAAGUUUUAGAUACCUUGUGAAUAUUUGUUGAUGGUAAGUAGUUAAUAGGUAUAGUUCUUAUCUCAUUUAGUUGGCACCACUAUCGGAAGAGCUCAUCUUCGGAAGAGCUCCAU
rnacentral:lncRNA from 1 species